rnacentral:tRNA from 1 species
GUGGGAAUAGCUCAGUGGUAGAGCACGUGCUUAGUAUUCAUCAGGUCCUGGGUUCAAACCCCAGUACCUCCA